rnacentral:misc_RNA from 1 species
CCAAUAGCGUAUAUUAAAGUUGUUGCAGUUAAAAAGCUCGUAGUUGAAUUUCGGGAUCAGUACGCUGGUCAUGCCUUUGGUAUGCACUGGUGUCACUGGUUUCUCCCUUCUGAAGAUCCGUGAUGUCAUUAAUUUGGUGUCGCGGGGAAUCAGGACUGUUACUUUGAAAAAAUUAGAGUGUUUAAAGCAGGCUCACGCUUGAAUACAUUAGCAUGGAAUAAUGAAAUAGGACGUUUGACCCUAUUUUGUUGGUUUCUAGGAUCGACGUAAUGAUUAAUAGGGAUAGUUGGGGGCAUUAGUAUUCAAUUGUCAGAGGUGAAAUUCUUGGAUUUAUUGAAGACUAACUACUGCGAAAGCAUUUGCCAAGGAUGUUUUCAUUAAUCAAGAACGAAAGUUAGGGGAUCGAAGACGAUCAGAUACCGUCGUAGUCUUAACCAUAAACUAUGCCGACUAGGGAUCGGAUGAUGUUAAUUUUUUAAUGACUCAUUCGGCGCCUUACA